CACAGCCACGCGGGCCGGGCCAGGGGGCGCCGGGCCUUUGGCCGCGUGCCCCUUCCCCCGGGAGCUAGAGCAGGAUCCGUGCGGCCUUUGGCCCUUUGGCCGCGUGCCCCCUGCAGCCCCGCCAACGACCCGCACGGGAACCUGGAGGGACCCGCACGGGAACCUGGAGGGCUGCCGCCACUGCUGGUGCGGACGGGGGCGGGGACCCUGCUGUGCCCGUGUCCGGAUCCCGGAUCCCGGGAAGGGGAACGGGUGUGGAGCCGGGCCACCCGGCGUCAAAGGGGGGGCCUUGAGCGUGAGGGGGUCUUGGGAGGCGGAGGGGUAGGGGCUGGGGAGGAGGCGGUGGCGGAGCUCACCAGGAGGAGCAGAGAGUCCGGGUCGGACAGGCCCCCGGUGGGAGCAGCAGCAGCACCAGCCAGCCGCGGCCUCCUCCUCCUCCUCCUCCUCCUCCUCCUCCUCAGCCGGGCCCCGCGCCCCGUGCCCCGCGCCCCCCGCCCAAAACCCGGCCCGGGCCCACCAAGAGGCUGUUGCCUGACACGGGGGGGGGGGGGGGGGGGGGGGGGACACACACCGGGCAGCGGCACUGCCACGUCCCGCGGCUUUCCCCUCUCUGGCGGAGGCCUGGUCCCAGUGCCCCCAUUUCCCUCUUCCCUCAGCCAAGUCGAGGCCAAGCCGCCGCCAUCACUCCCCCUCCACCCCGCGCCCCGGGCCAGCCAGGCCUCUCAGCUCGCCCCGUUCCCCUUUCUGGGCCACCUUCUCCAACGUCCCACCACAGCCCUCAGGGCAAGCACAGUCGAGGAACGGCUGGGUGACUCCCGCCCCUGCAUCCCAAAGCCAACGCCUGCUCCCGAGCUGGUCAUCAAGGGACCAGCGUGGAGCGCGUGCCAGAAGCGCCAGGCGCCUCGGGAUGGGACUGCCAACGGCCCCUUCGGUCCCGGUCCCGCCGGGACGCUGGGACUUCACCCCCGGGCCCGUCCUGCCCUGGAAGCCAGCGGGCGGCGGCUCCGGGGA
rnacentral:lncRNA from 1 species